GCGAACCUGCGAAGGCAAGCGGAUCUCUUAAAGCCGUUCUCAGUUCGGACUGUAGGCUGCAACUCGCCUACACGAAACUGGAAUCGCUAGUAAUCGCGGAUCAGCACGCCGCGGUGAAUACGUUCCCGGGCCUUGUACACACCGCCCGUCACACCAUGAGAGUCUGUAACACCCAAAGCCGGUGGGAUAACCUUUAUAGGAGUCAGCCGUCUAAGGUAGGACAGAUGAUUAGGGUGAAGUCGUAACAAGGUAAC
rnacentral:rRNA from 1 species